rnacentral:lncRNA from 1 species
GGGCCUGGAGAUUUGGUGACUGUCUUGCUGUUCGGUGAUGCAGCAGAACACUUGCAGUUGCUUGGGUGGCCUGGCCCUUUCAGUUGCAACUUGCAAAGUUCUGUAUGUAUCCUUUGGGUUGUUGAUUCUGAACAUUUUGUGCAACUUGUAUGUAUCCCCUACUUCAUCACCAAUUCGUUUGACCACACCACUUGCUUGCUGAUCUUCACAGGCAUAUAAUGUGCACCCUUGGUCAUCCGAUCCCAUGAACUGCUAACGAAACAACGCCCAACGUCGUGACUGUGGUCACGUUCUGCAACCAAGCAACCGCCCUCCUCCGUUCUCCUCCAGCAGCAGCAAAAGGUUUUUUCCUCUCCCUUGUUACUGAAUUUAAGUUGGAGACAACAUUUAAGUUAUGAACCUUGUUACUAAAUCAUGUUGUGAAUCACUUAAGUUCUGAACCAUUGGAAUUUCUGAAUCAUGAACUUUGUUAAGUUUUUAAAAAGAUGAGUACUAGUACAUCCAGGACACAUAGGCAACCCAAAUCCGACAUGUU